rnacentral:rRNA from 1 species
GCGGAGGAAAAGAAACCAACAGGGAUUGCCUCAGUAACGGCGAGUGAAGCGGCAAAAGCUCAAAUUUUAAAGCUGGCAUCUUCGGUGUCCGCGUUGUAAUUUUGUGAGGCAUCUCCGGGUAGGGCGCCGGCCUAAGUUCCUUGGAACAGGACGUCACAGAGGGUGAGAAUCCCGUGCUUGGCUGGCUGUCCCCGUCCAUGUGAGGUGUCUUCGACGAGUCGAGUUGUUUGGGAAUGCAGCUCAAAAUGGGUGGUAAAUUUCAUCUAAAGCUAAAUAUUGGUGGGAGACCGAUAGCGCACAAGUAGAGUGAUCGAAAGAUGAAAAGCACUUUGAAAAUAGAGUUAAAAAGUACGUGAAAUUGUUGAAAGGGAAGCGCUUGAGACCAGACUUCGGUAGGGGGUGAUCAGCCGUCCUUCUGGGCGGUGCACUUGCCCCCCUCCGGGCCAGCAUCGGUUGAGGCGGCGGGAUAAAGGUCCCGGGAAUGUGACUCCUCUCAAGGGAGUGUUUAUAGCCCGGGUGAAUGCCGCCAGCUUCGACCGAGGACCGCGCCCGCAAGGGUUAGGAUGCUUGGCAUAAUGGUCUUCAGCGACCCGUCU